rnacentral:lncRNA from 10 species
UUUCUUGUCAUAUCUACUUAAUAUAUAGGGAAUUAGAAAUACAAAAUUCAACAUGAAAGUAAACAUUUAGAAUAAUCUAAUAAUCAUAACAAUUUAUAAAUUUUAAAAUUUACAUUAACAUAACAAAAUCAAAACACUUUGCUUUUGCUAGCGACCCUUUCAGGGCCUUGGAAGAAGGUCCUGUACCAAUGAAGCACCAUGAGACUCUUUUUAAAAUUUUUAUUUAUUUAUUUAUUUUGAGAUGGAGUCUCGCUCUGUUGCCAGGCUGGAGUGCAGUGGCACAAUCUUGGCUCACUGCAAUCAGCACCAUGGGACUUCAUGAGCUUCACAGCAGGAAGGCCUCAACAGAAUUCAUCACAUCUGAAAAAUGAAAAUGGGAUGAGAACAAAUGUCCUGUACUCCACAGUCUGCAUGGGUUUUCUCUAGCAGGGUCUACUUUUGACUGUGCUUAAAGAUGGUGAAUUAGAGGGUUUCAGUGAGGCUCGGCCCCUUGUAAAUAGAACGACAGUGCAUAAAGAUCAACUCUGCAAGCUUUCAUUCAAGAAGGAAAGUGAGAAUCCACCGGAAUAAUGGAAGACAAUCCCAGGUCCAGAGAAGAGAGUGCUGGCAAACAUUUCCUGUGACAGCGUCCAGCUAAUAAAAGUGAGUGCAGCCCCAGUGUGUGAGAGAGACAGAGGUUCUCUCUCUGUGACUCACCUUCCCACUGGGGAUCCAAGCAACCCAGGCCAAGAGAGAGCACUUUGCUUCCCACCUCCUGGAGUUAAGGAGAGGCUUGGAGAUGCUGUGUGGGAAAGACACUGGGAAUAUCUGCAGACAUUUUCCCAGAUCCAAGACUGAGAGCCGGAUGCCAUUUUUAAUACAGAUGCAUGCAAAGUCAGCCAUUUGGUGACCCAGCAGUGUGACUGUGCAGGCAUUUUCAUCUAAGGGCAGAAAUUGGAGCAAUUACUCUGAAGUGGGUUAGCCAGAACUGUGAAAAGCACCUCAGUAGUAGGUGCUAGAAUUGUGUUCUCCCCUCUUGUAGGCCUGGGAUUUGAGGAGAGCUGCUAUAGCUGAAGUUUCUCUUGGGUGCUGAGACUUAGUGCCAGGGCGAGCUUGUUGACUUGGAACUGAUCUGCAUAUGCCAUUGCUGUGUGCCCUACACUACUUCCCUGAGAACAUGGUGUAGCAGGGCCCUCACUGCUUCACCACAAGCAGAAAUUCAGGCAUUUGGAGCACCUACUUGCCUGGGCCAGCAGCCUGAGCUGCCCCACCCUUCCCAGACAUAGGUCUUUGUGCAGGAGGACUCUCCACUCCAUGCCCAGGCAGGUUUCCAGGCAUUAGGAGCACCCUAAUUCAGCAGGCUGAGACACCUCAUCCUUCCUGGCAGAGAUCCUGGUGCAGGGGGACCCUCUCUGCUCCACACUUAGGUAGAUCUCCAGUCAUUUAGAGCACGGGCUUUCCUGGUGCAGCAGCCUAAGUUGCCCCAUUCAUCUUGUGCAGAGAUUCUGAUGCAAGGGGGGCCUCUCUGCUCCACAACCAGGCAUAUCUCCAGGCACCUAUAGCAACAACUCUCCUGGAAUAGGAGCUUAGGCUAUGCCCUGAUCUCUAUGCAGGGAACUUGGAGCAAAGGAGGUUGCCCAGCUCCAUACCUAGGCCUACCUCUUGGUACCUGGCAGCCACCCAGUAGAUUCUCCCUUGGCACUGGUUCUUGUGCCUGCCAUUAGAGGACUUUCAGGCAGACCUGCCCAGUCUGGCCCUACUUUUCGUGGGUCCUGCCUUUCUACCCCAGAGAUGAGCAGGGAGCUUAGACCACUAUGCAUUCCACCAGUCAGCCCAUUGCUUGAUUAAACAAGGAUCAGGUAUAUACAUAACCAUGUUGGCUGUAGUCAGCUCAUACCUAUAAGUACCAUCUAUGGGCUUGUAGCACAAACUGCAUAUCCCAAUACAAAACCUGAUGAAAGAAAUGCCUAGAAUUAUAGAAGCAAAGCCAAAGACCCUACCCAGCAUUUUCUACAAUCACAUUCCCUAGGGAGAGGAGGAAACAAAAAGGUAAAGAAAAAAAUUAAUAACAUUAAAGGGAAAGAAAGAAAAAUAAAAAAAUAAUAUUCACACUAAAAUCAUUACAAAAAUUAGAAGUGCCAGCAUCUCUAGAUGAGAAGAAACCAGCACAGAGUUUGAGCUCCAUGAAAAGUCUGAAUGUAGUGACACCAUUAAAGGAUGAUACUAGUUCUCCAGCCAUGGUCUUUAGCCAAAAUGGAAACUCAGAAAUAACAGAUAAAGAAUUCAACACAUGAAUUGCAAGGAAGGUCAUUGAGAUCCAAGAUGAGGUCUAAAAUCAACACAAAGACACUUCUAAAGCAACCCAGGAAAUAAAUUAAGAGAUAAACAUCUUAGAAAUCAUUCAGAGCUUCUGGAAUUAAAAAAUUUACUUAAAAAAUUUCAAAGUACAACUGAAAGCUUUGUCAAUAGAUUGGAUGAAGCAGAAUCUCAGAACUCAAAGAAUGGUCUUUUGAACUAAUCCAAUCUGAUAAAAAUAAAGAAAAGAUAAUUUUAAAUUUUUUUCAAAUACGUGGUUUUAUGUAAUGUAGGCCCAGUGCAAGUGUCAUUGAGCUAUAUCUGUUUAGUGUAGUAUGGUCACUGGUUAGCUUCUGUGAAACCUAUAUAGUUGCCUACUAUUUUAAAUCACAGUUUUUCAUGAUGAAAGCAACCUAAUUUUUGUGAGAGAUAUGGAUUUUAGUAGUGACAUAUGAGCAAGUAUUAUUACUGCCUAAACUAAAAAUGAUCAGAUUUUAAGCUGUUCAGGGUAAAUUCAUUGUGUGCCUGAUUUUAAGGACACAUAGUCCUAAUAAUCAGAACUCUCAGUUUCUGAAUAUUUGAUAUUAUAACUUGCAAAAAAUUUUACUUGAAAUUUACUCACCACACAAAAUAAUCUAUUGUAAUAAAUAUGUAUGUAUAUGCUACUGAAAAUAUUUUAGUUACACAUGAGUUCCAGAUGAGAGGUUGCAGAGUCCAUUGGAUUCUUAAUAUAGCUGUUUUUCCACGAGGAUUUCAUGUCUUAUUAUUGUUUUAAUGUAGGGUACUAUAUUAUCAUGUGUUUAUUAUGGUUUUAAUAUAGUCUCUAUUAUUCUCCUGUGUUUCUAAUGGUUUUAAUAUAGUCUCUAUUAUUCUCCUGUGUUUAUAUAAGUAUCGUCCAAGCAGGCGGAAAGGCUCUUUAAGAGAGUAGGUGAGUCUAAGAGACCUAGAAAAUUGUAUAGAUUAAUAGGAAACUUGGAAAUAAUAAGAGCUAUUGAGAGAAGUGUGAAUAUAAAAGGGAUUGAAUCAAAAUUUAAAAUCAUAGAUCCUGCUAAAGAGUCUGGAUUUAUUGAAAUGGAUGUUCAAAGUAUUGAAGAACUCUUAGCAUCAAAUAGUGACAAAAUCACUCUCUAGAGAAACAUUCAAUUUGAUGUUCAUCACUGGUCCAAGGAGAAGAAAGAUGAAGAGCAAAUGAUAGUAAAGUUUUA